UGAUGCCAGAGAGAAAGGAUAAGGGUUUGAGAUCCAAGUUCUGUCUGGGUUAGAGUCCUAAAAUCUGGGUUGGGUCCCAGAGAAAGGACCAAGUUCCUUCAGGUCGGGUUGGAGUCCCAGAGAAAGACCUGAGUUCUGUCUGGGUUAGAGUCCCGACGUCUGUCUGGGUUGGAGUCCCAGAAUAAGGCCUUUGGUUCGUGGUUAGAGUCCCGACGUGUGUCUGGGUUAGAGUCCUAGAAUCUGGGUUAGUGUCCUAGAAUAGAGUCCUAGAAUAGAAAUUGACUAGAAUCUGGGUUGGAGGCCCAGAGAAAGGACCAAAUUAUUUUAGGUUGGGUUGGAUCCCGACGUGGGUAUCAGAGAGACUGUUGAUCUGAUCUUAAAUACAUUGCACUUUCUAUUUUACAAAUUUCUUUGCAUAUGUUUUCUUUUACUUAUCUAUUAUUUUAUUUUAUUGUAUGACAAUGUUUAUAUGUGAAGCACUUUGAGUCUGCCUUGUGUAUGAAAAGUGCUAUAUAAAUAAAGUUGCCUUGCCUUGC